CCACAACUGAACACAAACGCCAACAUGAACAUCUUGUUCCUCAGUGUAACCUUUAACACUCUUCUGCUUUCAGGUGCCUCUCAGAUGAGCAAAGUCCACCAGAAUCCACCUGAUAUUUACAGAAACCAAGGAGAAAAGGCUGAAUUCACAUGUUCACAUCAAAUCGAUACCUACAACCGGAUCCUCUGGUACAGACAAACAAAGAAUGAUGAGAUGAAGCUCCUGGGAUACAUGAAUAUAAUGAAUCCAUAUAAUGAAGCUGGAGUGCAUGUGAAGAUAGGUGGAGGUGCAAAUAAAGGUGAAACCUGCACAUUAACCACUGAAGAACUCAGCCUGAACAGCAGUGCAGUUUACUUCUGUGCUGCCAGUCAACACAAUCAUACCCUGCACCUGUACUAA